GACUUGCCAUUUGGGGACCAAUGGAUUCAACCAGCAUGAUUGAUAGCAUUGUGGUAGGAACUUUUGGAUACAUAGCCUGAGUAUUUAAUGGAAGGAAGGGUUAGUGACAAGAUCGAUGUGUACUCCUUCGGCGUUGUGCUUCUAGAUACUGUCAGGAAGGAGACCUGUUAGUUCAAAAGCUGUGGACAAACAAGAGAGCUUGAUUCAGUGGGCCAGGGCAUUAUUAGAUAGAAGGAAUAUCCAAGGAUUUGUGGAUCCGGUAUUAGACGGAGAUUUCAACGUUGCUCAAAUGCACAGAAUGCUUCUCGCAGCAACCCUCUGCCUCAAUCAGUUGGAUGUAUACCGUCCAAAAGUGAGCCAGAUACUGCAAGUACUGCAAGGACAGAAGGAACCAACAGAGGGCUAUGAUUUCCAUGCCGCAUAUAUGAAAGUGCACAAUAACCAGCAAUAUGAUGGACUUCGCAAACUACAUACCUAUCCUUCGGUUCCAUUAAGUGAUGAUGUUUCAACAUCUGAAAGCAAAAAUCAGACACGAAGAUGCAAAACUGGUAGAAGACGUCGUUUAAUGCUUAAAGAACACCUUAAGAGAGAGCAAUGAUGCAAAUGAAUAUAGAGAAACAAUCAAAUGCCAAAAAUGAAAUGCAGAAUAUCUCGUUUCUAUUAGUAAAUCCUCAUUGUACAUGUUAGAGUUGGCCCAAAAAAUAAAGGUGAACAACCAGGGCAUUGAGCAUUGUAAACUCAAUUC